CUGUAAAGUGACUCAUCCAUUUAUAAAACAAAGUUCCUGCCUUCCUGGAACCUACAUCCUAGUUGGAGAGAAAACUACUGAGAGAAAAUAUUAUUGAAAUAAUGUACUCUGCCAGAGAAGGCUUCCCAGAGGUGCCAUUUGAGUGGGAUUAAAAGAUGAAAUGAGUUCGUCAAGAUGACAUGAUCGGAGAAUGGUGACCCAGAUUCUAAGCUCCAGAAAACCAGAGAUUGCUGUAUUGUUCACCAUGAUAACACAUAACCUGACAGUACUUGGCACUUAAUUGAAACUCACUGAAUAGCUGUCAAUUUAUUAAAUGAACUAAUCAUUC